UAUAUUUUAGUAUAUGAUGUACGAAAGUUUUUGAAACUUUUAGAGAUAGUUUAAUUCUAUUAAAUAUAA
rnacentral:tRNA from 1 species